CCACAUGAUUAACAUGUUGGAUUAUGAUUUACCAGAUACAGAGUAAAACAGGAUAAACAUUGAUGGAAGAGUAGAAGAAGUCAUCAGUGCCGGUCUAUGAGUUUGUGACACUGACUUACAUUGUCGAUGGACCUGAGCCGGAUCCCCACCUUCCCUUCCUGGUCCUUACAGAGGAUAAUCUCCCGCAACCCUGGGCGGAUCUCUGCCCUCCUGAUGCCAACGUCCGCCCCCGUCACAGGCCGCACCAUUCCCCCGACACCUGAAAUGGAGGGCACUGCCACUUGCUAAGGAGUGGGGGAAAGAAAGCCACAUGGCAAGAGAGGUGA